AACGAACGCUGGCGGCAGGCUUAACACAUGCAAGUUGAGCGGGAAUGAUUAGUAGCUUGCUAUUGAUCAUGAGAGCAGCGCACUGGUGAGUAACACGUGGGAACAUACCUUUUGGGUGGGGGACAACAGAGGGAAACUUCUGCUAAUACCGCAUAAGCCCUAAGGGGGAAAGAUUUAUCGCCGAGAGAUUGGCCCGCGGAAGAUUAGGUAGUAGGUGGGGUAACGGCCUACCUAGCCGACGAUCUAUAGCUGGUCUGAGAGGACGAUCAGCCACAUUGGAACUGAGACACGGUCCAGACUCC
rnacentral:rRNA from 1 species